rnacentral:lncRNA from 1 species
AAUCACGGACCUGGGCCUGGCUCGCCUGAAAGGUGUAGGGGAACUGUAAUUCAGACCACCAAGAAACCGCCCUUGCCAAGAUCUCUUUUCUAGUCUGAAGACCACUUGGGACUGCAGGAAGGCACAUGGGGAUCCUGUUUGCAUCUGAUCUGCUCACUGCAAUAUAACACGUGCAUAAAACAGUGCAACCGUAUUUGUUUUAAUAAGGCCAUUCUGAGCAGCUGUUUAAUGAUCCAUGAUGUUAAAUGAAAACUACAGGUGUUCCAAAUGCAAACCUUAUGGCCCAGGGCCCCCCUUAUUACCGUUCUACAAUUAGCAGCCAACUGCUCUUAGGCUGUGCAAAGAAUUACCACCAUCAUCAUUACAUUAUUUCUUAAUUUCAUUCUCUGCCUAAGUGUCUUCCCCCAAAGGAAAAACCUGCUUGGCAUGGGAAAGCAUAAGAGUGAAAAAAUGAAAAGGGAAGGAGAACACAAAACACUCCCUGUCCAACCACAAGGAGGCCUCAGUGAAGGGGGAAAGAGCCAGCCAAAAGGCUCAGCCCCCUAAGGAAUCUUCCAGAGUGACUUUCUGGCCAAACUUAACAAAGUCUUGCUGAAACUAUUGGUGUUCAUAAGGAUUGCAUUAACCCUUUCUUCUUCAUGAUUCCCUAAGCUUAAUACUGUGCUAAGCCAAAUUGCCAGAAAGCUGCAUAGCUGGAUUCCAUCGCUCUGUCUUGUAGAGGGCUAAUUUUAUGCAAGUAUAAUUUUAACAUCACAACAGUUUUCACUUAAGGUACAUAUAAUAAACUGCAAAGAAGGAAGUCUUCUGUAUCACUUGUGAAAUUGCUGUCUGUAUCAUUAUCCAUUACAUACCUCAAUACCUCUUACAUAAAAAUGCCAGAGACAAAUU